CCUACGGGAGGCAGCAGUGGGGAAUAUUGGACAAUGGGGGCAACCCUGAUCCAGCCAUGCCGCGUGUGUGAAGAAGGCCCUCGGGUUGUAAAGCACUUUCAGUGAGGAAGAACGCCUGGUGGUUAAUACCCAUCAGGAAAGACAUCACUCACAGAAGAAGCACCGGCUAACUCCGUGCCAGCAGCCGCGGUAAUACGGAGGGUGCGAGCGUUAAUCGGAAUUACUGGGCGUAAAGCGCGCGUAGGUGGCUUGAUAAGCCGGUUGUGAAAGCCCCUGGCUCAACCUGGGAACGGCAUCCGGAACUGUCAAGCUAGAGUGCAGGAGAGGAAGGUAGAAUUCCCGGUGUAGCGGUGAAAUGCGUAGAGAUCGGGAGGAAUACCAGUGGCGAAGGCGGCCUUCUGGACUGACACUGACACUGAGGUGCGAAAGCGUGGGUAGCAAACAGGAUUAGAUACCCUUGUAGUC
rnacentral:rRNA from 1 species